AGUGGCGCACGGGUGAGUAACGCGUGGGUAACCUGCCCCCGAAUUCGGGAUAACUUCGCGAAAGCGGCGCUAAUACCGGAUAUCGUCCCAGGGGCUUUGGUCUCUGGGAUGAAAGAUGACCUCUCCAUGGAAGUUGUCGUUCGGGGAGGGGCUCGCGUACCAUUAGCUUGUUGGUGGGGUAAUGGCCUACCAAGGCGACGAUGGUUAGCUGGUCUGAGAGGAUGAUCAGCCACACUGGCACUGAAACACGGGCCAGACUCCUACGGGAGGCAGCAGUGAGGAAUUUUGCGCAAUGGGGGAAACCCUGACGCAGCAACGCCGCGUGAGUGAAGAAGGCCUUCGGGUCGUAAAGCUCUGUCAAGUGGGAAAAACGUCAGACGAUGAACAGUCGUCAGGCUUGAUGGUACCACUGGAGGAAGCACCGGCUAACUCCGUGCCAGCAGCCGCGGUAAUACGGAGGGUGCAAGCGUUGUUCGGAAUUACUGGGCGUAAAGAGCGUGUAGGCGGCAAGGUAAGUCAGGCGUGAAAGCCCUGGGCUUAACCCAGGAAGUGCGUUUGAAACUGCCUCGCUAGAGUAUGGGAGAGGAGAGUGGAAUUCCCGGUGUAGAGGUGAAAUUCGUAGAUAUCGGGAGGAACACCCGUGGCGAAGGCGACUCUCUGGACCAAUACUGACGCUGAGACGCGAAAGCGUGGGGAGCAAACAGGAUUAGAUACCCUGGUAGUCCACGCCGUAAACGAUGAGCACUAGGUGUAGCGGGUAUUGACCCCUGCUGUGCCGUAGCUAACGCAUUAAGUGCUCCGCCUGGGGAGUACGGCCGCAAGGCGUAAAAACUCAAAGGAAUUGACGGGGGCCCGCACAAGCGGUGGAGCAUGUGGUUUAAUUCGACGCAACGCGAAGAACCUUACCUGGGUUUGACAUCCCCUGACCGCCCGGGAAACCGGGUUUACCCUGCUGCAGGGACAGGGUGACAGGUGCUGCAGGCGUCGUCAGCUCGUGUCGUGAGAUGUUGGGUUAAGUCCCGCAACGAGCGCAACCCCGCUUUUUCUUAGUGCCAGUAUUCAGUUAGGCACUCUAAAGAGACUGCCUCGGCUAACGGGGAGGAAGGUGGGGAUGACGUCAAGUCCUCAUGGCCUUUAUACCCAGGGCUACACACGUGCUACAAUGGGUCGUACAAUGGGUUGCGAAGCCGCGAGGUGGAGCCAAUCCCAAAAAGCGGCUCUCAGUUCGGAUUGGAGUCUGCAACUCGACUUCAUGAAGGUGGAAUCGCUNAGUAAUCGUGGAUCAGCAUGCCACGGUGAAUACGUUCCCGGGCCUUGUACACACCGCCCGUCACACCACGAAAGUCGGCUGUACCAGAAGUUGCCGGGCUAACCUUUCGGGGAGGCA
rnacentral:rRNA from 1 species